GAUGAACGCUAGCGGCAGGCUUAAUACAUGCAAGUCGUGGGGCAGCAUGACUGUAGCAAUACAGUUGAUGGCGACCGGCAAACGGGUGCGGAACACGUACACAACCUUCCUUUAAGUGGGGAAUAGCCCAGGGAAACUUGGAUUAAUACCCCGUAACAUAUAGAAGUGGCAUCACUUUUAUAUUAUAGCUACGGCGCUUAGAGAUGGGUGUGCGGCUGAUUAGGUAGUUGGCGGGGUAACGGCCCACCAAGCCGACGAUCAGUAACUGGUGUGAGAGCACGACCAGUCACACGGGCACUGAGACACGGGCCCGACUCCUACGGGAGGCAGCAGUAAGGAAUAUUGGUCAAUGGACGCAAGUCUGAACCAGCCAUGCCGCGUGGAGGAUGAAGGUCCUCUGGAUUGUAAACUUCUUUUAUCUGGGAAGAAAAAGGACUUUUCUAAGUCAACUGACGGUACCAGAUGAAUAAGCACCGGCUAACUCCGUGCCAGCAGCCGCAGUAAGAC
rnacentral:rRNA from 1 species